rnacentral:rRNA from 1 species
AUGAAUCUGCCGGGCAGGGGGGGAGAACGUUCGCAAACGGACGCUAAUACCGCAUACGUCCUACGGGAGAAAGCAGGGGACCUUCGGGCCUUGCGCUAUCAGAUGAGCCUAGGUCGGAUUAGCUAGUUGGUGAGGUAAUGGCUCACCAAGGCGACGAUCCGUAACUGGUCUGAGAGGAUGAUCAGUCACACUGGAACUGAGACACGGUCCAGACUCCUACGGGAGGCAGCAGUGGGGAAUAUUGGACAAUGGGCGAAAGCCUGAUCCAGCCAUGCCGCGUGUGUGAAGAAGGUCUUCGGAUUGUAAAGCACUUUAAGUUGGGAGGAAGGGUUGUAGAUUAAUACUCUGCAAUUUUGACGUUACCGACAGAAUAAGCACCGGCUAACUCUGUGCCAGCAGCCGCGGUAAUACAGAGGGUGCAAGCGUUAAUCGGAAUUACUGGGCGUAAAGCGCGCGUAGGUGGUUUGUUAAGUUGGAUGUGAAAUCCCCGGGCUCAACCUGGGAACUGCAUUCAAAACUGACUGACUAGAGUAUGGUAGAGGGUGGUGGAAUUUCCUGUGUAGCGGUGAAAUGCGUAGAUAUAGGAAGGAACACCAGUGGCGAAGGCGACCACCUGGACUAAUACUGACACUGAGGUGCGAAAGCGUGGGGAGCAAACAGGAUUAGAUACCCUGGUAGUCCACGCCGUAAACGAUGUCAACUAGCCGUUGGAAGCCUUGAGCUUUUAGUGGCGCAGCUAACGCAUUAAGUUGACCGCCUGGUGGAGUACGGCCCGCAAGGUUAAAACUCAAAUGAAUUGACGGGGGCCCGCACAAGCGGUGGAGCAUGUGGUUUAAUUCGAAGCAACGCGAAGAACCUUACCAGGCCUUGACAUCCAAUGAACUUUCUAGAGAUAGAUUGGUGCCUUCGGGAACAUUGAGACAGGUGAUGCAUGGCUGUCGUCAGCUUGUGUCGUGAGAUGUUGGGUUAAGUCCCGUAACGAGCGCAACCCUUGUCCUUAGUUACCAGCACGUUAUGGUGGGCACUCUAAGGAGACUGCCGGUGACAAACCGGAGGAAGGUGGGGAUGAAGUCAAGUCAUCAUGGCCCUUACGGCCUGGGCUACACACGUCAUACAAUGGUCGGUACAGAGGGUAUCCAAGCCGGGAGGUGGAAUUAAUACCAUAAAGUCGCUGUUAGUCUGGAUGUCAGUCUGCAACUCCCAUGAAGGAAGUGGGAAUAGCUUUAAUGAUCAGCCAGAAUGCGGCGAAGACGUUCCUGGCCGUCGUCACCCCACCCGCCAAGUCACGAAAGUAGGUAACACC